rnacentral:rRNA from 1 species
AAACUUUACAAUGCGGGCAACCGUGAUAAGGAAACCCCGAGUGCCAGCACAGGCUGGCUGUCCACCAGUGUAAAAAACUGGUGAAGAAAGGGCCGGGCAAGACCGGUGCCAGCCGCCGCGGUAAUACCGGCGGCUCGAGUGGUGGCCGCUUUUACUGGGCUUAAAGGGUCCGUAGCUGGAUCUGCAAGUCCCUUGAGAAAUCCAUCGGCUUAACUGAUGGGCGUUCAGGGGAUACUGUGGUUCUAGGGACCGGGAGAGGUGAGAGGUACUGCCGGGGUAGGAGUGAAAUCCUGUAAUCCCGGUGGGACGACCUAUGGCGAAGGCAUCUCACCAGAACGGCUCCGACAGUGAGGGACGAAAGCUGGGGGAGCAAACCGGAUUAGAUACCCGGGUAGUCCCAGCUGUAAACGAUGCGCGUUAGGUGUGUCAGUGACCACGUGUCACUGAGGUGCCGAAGGGAAACCGUGAAACGCGCCGCCUGGGGAGUACGGUCGCAAGGCUGAAACUUAA